AGUCUCGCCCAGGUGUGGCAGGAGCUUUUACCUGCUCUUCGGCAGUAGCCGGCUGCCACUCAACCCCAUGCCUGGUGAGUGGAAAGCCAUCAACCUUUUAUUUAGUCCCUCUCUCGUUGUCGCCUGGGGAGGGGCGACUUUGUACAGUGAGGCACUGGGGUCCGGCACCAUAGUGGGAGUUGGGGUUGUUUACGCGACACUUCUAAGGGGAUUUUCACAAUCGGUUAAGCCCCCGUUAAUCCUCACAUGGUUAUUGCGGCGACCCCCAUAGCCCACGGUCCCAAACGUGUGCAUCUGAAUCAUCCGAAGCUCUUUCUAAAGGCAGGCUCCCCUGGCCGCCUCUCCUAAUCCGACUCGGUACUUCACGGGGCGUGCCUAGAAUCUGCAUUUUAGCAAGGGCCUCGCGUGGACAGAAUUGCACGCUUGAGUUUGAGAAGUACUGCUUGGCCUCUGCCCCACUUACCCUUACCUUCUUGAGAUGAGGUAAAGCACUUGGUAGGCACUAGGCGGGUAGGUUUAUCUUUGCUCCCAAGUCUCUUCCGAGAACUUGGGAAGGCUGCCUAGCUUAGUGAGGGAAUCCAUUCUGGCUUCAGACCAGUCUGGGUUUGAAACCUACACAUCCCACUAACUUAGGCAGGGUACCGAAACUCCCUGAGCUUCAUGUCCUCAUCAGUAAAACGAGGUUAAUCACACCUACACCUUAGCGCGAUGGCUUAAAAAAAAAAAAAAAAAAAACAAACAAAAAAAAACAUAGUCCAUCAAGAGAAAUACAUUUUGCAUACAGACCAGUACACUGCUAUUUGUAUGAGAGUGUCAUAAAGUUUCCGAAAACAAUGCUUACUACUUGUGACGCACUGAUAGUUUCUAUGCUUAUCCUAUCCUAUCUUAUUCUCCUUCUUGUUGAUCAUGACUGGCAGUUUGAAAAACACUGCUAGAAAAGGUUGGUGUGAUAAUACAAAAUGCAGAGCAGAAUACCGGGUACACAGUAAUUGCUGAAUAAAUGUUAAUAGCCUCUUCCAGUCUUCUCCUCUCAGUGUUAGCCUUUGAAAAACAAGACUUUAGACAAUAAUACUCCUCUAGUAAAGAUCCUUCAUGGGAUCCGUAUCUCCUAGAUAAAGCCCAAACUCCUUUCUAGGCAAAGUCCUCCCACUCUUUUUUCUUCUUAACCUCAGCAUCCACCAGAGGACACACUCUUACUGGUGUAUCUUUCAUGCUUUAUCUCCUCCCUCUACCCCCGUUCCCUUCCUACAAAUCCUACCCUUUUCCCUCCAGGAAAGAUUCCAGGUUCCUAAACACUUACGCUUUUUUCCACUAGUUGACUUCCUAUGUGACCCUUCCCUUCUGGUAAACCCCUAUGCAUCCAUGGCCGGAUGUGUUGGCUCACACCUGUAUUCCUAGUGCUUUGGGAAGCCAGAGGCAGGCGGAUCACUUGAGCCCAGGAUUUCGAGACCCAGCUUGGGCAACAUGGCAAAACCCCAUCUCUACAAAAAAAAUUAGCUGCAUGUGGUGGUGCGCACUUUUAGUUCUAGCUACCUGGGAAGCUGAGGUGGGUGGAUCACUUGAGCCUGGGAGUUUGAACUUAAAAUGAGCUAUGAUCACACCACUGCACUCCAGCCUGGGUGACAGAGCGAGACCCUGUCUCUCAGAAAAAUAAAUAAACUCCUAUGCAUCCUUCAAGACCCUGCUCAAAGUCUGCAUACCUCACUCCUGCCCAGCCAUAGCUUCUUCCUCCUCUGUGCUGCCCUGGCACAUGCAAAAGAGCUUCUCUCUCACACACUAUUUCCACACUUUUAUUCUCACUUCUUACUCUCCUGCUAGACUGAGCUGUGGUAGAAGGAUUGAGGCCAGCACAGAGGAGGAUCAGCAGGAAAUGUAAGGUGAGUUAAAGAAUGAAUAUUUGCAUACAAUGACACCUGCAUGACUUGUUUGUAUAGUCCAUACAUUCUGUUCCCAGGCCAUUUUUCAAGUUUAGAUUGCUUCACUGUCAAACCAAGGACUCCACCCGGGUUCCAUGACUCACCUGUAUUAGGGUGCAGGGGUUUUGGGGGGAGGUAGGUGGGGUUGAAUAUCCUGCUGGGCCACUGUCAAACCUCUUCUGGGAGAAAAACGGGGUAGCUAUGCUUCUCCUAUCCUGGAGGCCCCAUCAUGAAGACCGCAGAGGUGAAAAAAAAAAAGUGUGCGCACACGGGGCGGAGGACAGGGUGUGAAUACUUGGAAGAAUUCUGCAGUAGUUUUGAAUUAUUUGAUUGGUUUUGCCCUUUUAAAGGUCACCUUAUCCUUGUUUUGUUUGUUUCUAGGCUGUCUGACUCUUCUUACUAGAGACACAGCCAAAGAAGGGAACCCUUUGUUUUUUUUUGUUGUUUUUUUUUGUUUCUUUCUUUCUUUUUUUUUUUUUUCCCCGAGAUGGAGUCUUGCUCUGUCACCCAGGCUGCAGUGCUGUGGCGUGAUCUCGGCUCACUGCAACCUCCGCCUCCCAGGUUCAAGCGAUUCUCAUGCCUCAGCCUCCUGAGUAGCUGGGAUUACAGACACGCACCACCACUCCCGGCUAAUUUUUGUAUUUUUAGUAGAGACAGGGUUUCACCAUGUUGGCCAGGCUGGUCUGAAACUCCUGACCUCAAGUGAUCCACCCACCUCAGUCUCCUAAAGUGCUGGGAUUGCAGGUGUGAGCCACUGCACCCGGAGGAAGGGGACACUUUCUAAGAAGAAGACCCCGUUAUACUUUUGUCAGGCCCAUUGGAGUCUUAGAGCUUCCUUCACAAACACCCCCGCUCCCCCAGUGACCACACAACUCCUCAGAGAUUUUUUCUUUCAAGAUGGCCCCUGUCUUCAACAGAGACGGAGAAGGUCAGGCAGCGGCUUGGAAAUGCUUGUGCUCUCCCGGCCACACUUUAUUUAUUUAUUUAUUUAGAGACGGAGACUUGCUCCGUCGCCCAGGCUGGAGUACAGGGGCACUAUCUCAGCUCACUGCAACCUCUUCCUCCCGGGUUCAAGCGAUUCUCCUGCCUCAGUUUCCUGAGUAGCUGGGAUUACAGACGCGCGCCACUACGCCCGGCUAUUUUUUGUAUUUUUAGUAGAGACGGGGUUUCACUGUGUUGGUCUGGCUGGUCUCAAACUCCUGACCUCACGAUCUGCCCGCCUCGGCCUCCCGAAGUGCUGGGAUUACAGGUGUGAGCCACUGUGCCCCGCCUUUAUUUUUAUUAUUAUUUUUGAGACAGGGUCUCUGCAGCCUCAACCUCCUGGGCCCAAGUGAUCCUCCCGCCUCAGCCUCUCAAGUAGCUGGGACUACAGGUGCGCGCCACCAUGCCCACCUAAUUUUUAAAUUUUUUGUAGAGCUGGGGUCUCCCUAUGUUGCCCAGGCUAGUCUCAAACUCCUGAGCUCUAGCGAUCCUCCCACCUCAGCCUCCCAAAGUGCUAGGGUUACAGGCGUGAGCCACUGCACCCGGCCAUGGCCACACGUGAGACUCACUAAAAGAGCUUUUAGUAAAUUCUGAAGUCUGGGUCCCAUCCUAGGAAAUUAGAAUCUCUGGGGGGCAUCAGCAUUAAGGAGUUCCUCAGGUGAUUCCAAUGGGCAGCCAAAUGUGGAGAAGGACUCCUUAGCCCAAAGAUACCUUCCCACUGGGGGUGCCCAAGUAAAAACAAGGAAAAGUCUGUGCCCUCCACCCCCACCCACUCCUGUCCCUCGCCUUUCUGAAUUUCUCCUCUUCCUACCCUACCUGCUGCCAUCUUCGCAGAGCCAGGGCCAGUGGGUGGUUCUGGCUGUGUCUGUCAACCUUAACCAGGGGCGACAUCUCCUCCCUGGUGUGUCUGGAGGCAGGUUCUCUCAGUGAUAUUUCCCUUUUGUCUCCAACUGCUUUCAGUUUCUUUCUACUCUACAUUGUCACUUUCUCUCCAUUUCUAACUUGCAAAGCUACACAUUCUCCACCACUAAAAACCCCAUGCUUGUCUUGUCUACCAUGGCACCUUCCAUUCCCAGCACACUGCUUGAUUAUAGUAGGUGCACAGUAAAUGUUUACUGACUGACCGAAUGACUAUAUCCUUUUAACACUUCUCAGGGACUUACCCCUUCUCUUUCAGGCCCAGCUUCUUCCACUUCCACUUUACUUCUCCUUCCAUGUCUACCUCUGAAUCCCCUUCUUUCUUCACUUUCCUGUGCUUUUCCUGCUUCCUGACAUUCUCUUUGUCCUUUUUUGCACAGGGUUGUCCUCAUCUAAUCCGUCAGUACCAGACAGUGAACAUCUCUCCCCCAGGAUGCUGAGGGAGGGUCCUGGAGGGAAGGAUGUGGAACUACAGCCUCUGCUCUCAAGAAGCUCAGAUCUGGGCAGGGAACAUCACAUACCAGGGCUGUCUGUCGGGGGGGUGGAGGGCUGGGGGAGGGAUAGCAUUAGGGGAAAUACCUAAUGUAAAUGACAAGUUGAUGGGUGCAGCAAACCAACAUGGCACAUGUAUACCUAUGUAACAAAUCUGCAUGUUGUGCACGUGUACCCUAGAACUUAAAGUAUAAUUAAAAAAAAAAAAAGCUUCAGAUCCCUCCUGGAGCCUCCUAUGAAACCACGUGGCAUAACUGGUGCUGUUGGUCCAGAAACUAGAAGAAUAUCAGGCCAGCCCCCUUGACUCUCUGUUGGUCCUCACUCAUAGCUACAACCCAAGCUUUAUUGUUGGUGUUUACCUUUGAAGAGUUACAGCCGACCCAGCCUUCUAAAGACUGCUUGUUUUGCCUUAAGGAUUUCCCAGUAACCUCUGCUUCUCCCCUUUUCCCCUCCUAUGAUUUUCUAUUUUCUCAUCUCUUCCCUUUCUACUUAUGGGGAAAUCAAAAUUGCAGACUUCUUCUUUUUUUUUUUUUUUUUUGAGGUAGUGUCUUGCUCUGUCGCCCAGGCUGGAGUACAAUGAUGCGAUCUCGGCUCACUGCAACCUCCGCCUCCCAGGUUCAACCAAUUCUCUUGCCUCAGCCUCCUGAGUAGCUGGGUUUACAGGUGCGCAUCACCAAGCCCAGCUAAUUUUUGUAUUUUUAGUAGAGGCAGGGUUUCACCAUUUUCGCCAGGCUUGUCUCGAACUCCUGACCUCAGGUGAUCCACCCGCCUCGACCUCCCAAAGUGCUGGGAUUAGAGGCGUGAGCGACUUCUCCCGGCCCAGAGUUGCAGACUUCUAACCCGGACUCUCUCAUAUGCAGACCCACAAAAAUAUCUGAUGGGACAAACACCUAGCUUGGAUGAAUUUGGGUAAUUUUUUUUUUCCUCCUAGGGUCCAUCAAUGAUUUCAGGGAUCUAGGUUUCCUCAGUCUUCUGUGAACAUGAAACAUUGACAGAGGCUAUAAGAUGUAUCUCCCUGUUACACCACACCCCUGGUGCACACAUACAGACACAUCUCUGUCUUCACUGCCGGGGAUGCCACUCCUGACCCCUGCCCUAACUCGUCAACUUCCUCUGCCCCUGGUUCCCCUGUCCAGGCCGAUGGCUCCCCACCAACUGCCAUGGAAUCUUCCAGCAAGGACAUUCCACUCAUCCUUCCCCACAGGGUUCUUCCUUCUUUGCUCCUUCUUUCUACCCCCAGUCUCCCUGGGGUGGGAUCUGUGGAGCCUCAGGAAGAAAGGGCAGGGCCCCAGGUAAAAGGAGCCCUUUAAGGUGGAAGGCAGGGGUGCCUCCUCAGCCUUUGUGUGUCACCACCAGGGGGCGCCCAAGGCAUUUCCAAAGCAGCUGCCCAGCGUUCACCUUACAGUAACACAGGGCGGACAGGGAGAUGCAGUUUAACAAGCAGCUAUUGAGUGCCUGCUAUUCCCCAGGAAUGGGGCCUGCUUCAUUCGGAGACUGAGAGUGGGUUCCAGCCUCUACAAAGAGACUCCUUAAAAAGAGCCAUUUGGGCCCGGGUGCAGUGGCUUACCCCUGUAAUCCCAGCAAUUUGAGAGGCCAAGGUGGGUGGAUCACCUGAGGUCAGGAAUUCAAGACCGGCCUGGCCAACAUGGCGAUACCCCAUCUCUGCUAAAAAUACAAAAAUUAGCCAGUCGUGGUGGUGCAUGCCUGUAGUCCCAGCUACUUGGGAGGCUGAGGUAGGAGAAUCGCUUGAAUCUGGGAGGCGGAGGUUGCAGUGAGCCAAGAUCUUGCCACUGCACUCCAGCCUGGGCGACAGAGUGGGACUUCAUCUCAAAAAAAAAAAAAAAAAAGACAAAACAACAAAAAAAAAGCCAUUUGGGCCGGGCAUGGUGGCUCAUGCCUGUAAUCCCAGUACUUGGGGAGGCCUAGGGCAGGAGGAUUGCUUCUUGAGCCCAGGAGUUAGAGACUAGCCUGGACAACUUAAGGAGACCCCCAUCUCUACAAAAAAAUUUAAAAAUUAGCCAGGCUUGGUGGCUCUCAACUGUAGUCCCAGCUACUUGGGAGGCUGAGGCAGGAGGAUCCCUUGAGCCUAGGAAUUUGAGGCUGUAGUGAGCUGUGUUUGCGACACUGCACUCUGCCCUGGGUGACAAAGCAAAACCCUGUCUCCCUGUCUGAAAACAAAAACAAACAAACACACACAUUUGCCUCUUCAAGGAAUUGGUUUCCUACCAACCAGCUCCUCUUACCUCCCCGGGUAGCAGCAUCUUCUCUCUGCCUCUGCCCCUCCCCUGCACUCCCCUGCUCCCCACCUUUCCCGACCCCAUUGACCACAGCUCCAUGUGGUGCCCAGUCUGCUUCUCGUAAGUCCCAGCUGCCCACUGCAGACUAGAAUUGUCCCCAGGGACAAAGGGAGGCUGAGAAUGUCCCUGGCGAGGCACUGCCCUCUCUCCCUCUGCCCGUCUCCCUCCUAGGCCCUCACUUAUGUCAAAACCACAUCUCAGUCCCAUUGCUAGUCUCCUGAGGGUUCCCCAGAGACCCUGAGUGUGGAGGGUGUGGGUUCAGAAGGACCAGGGCUGGGCUCAGGAGCAGCACUUGUCACCUGAAAGCACUGACCUGGCUGGGAGAGACUCGGGAAGUGGGCCAUGGGGGCGAUAACAAUAACAAUAAUCAUAUUAAUAAUAACACUGGGGCCCACAAAAUGGCUGUGAAAUGCCCGCUAAUGAUCCCUUAUAUUUAUAGAUCUCCUUCUCCUAGACACUUCAGAGCCAUUGCCCAAUUAACCCCCCUAGAUUCCCUAGAAGGGACAAUUAACCCCAUAUUUUAUGGCUGGGGAAACCUAGGCUCUGAGAAUGUGAUGGAGUUGGCUGAGGUCGUCCAGUCCAUUAGUGACAGCAGAAUUUGUGGAGCAGCCCUCUCUCGUUCCUUUUGUCUACAUCCACAUGCACUUAUGCUGGGCGUGGUGACUCAUGCCUGCAGUCCCACCAGCACUUUGGGAGGCUGAGGCGGGCGGAUGGCUCGAGCUCAGGAGUUUGAGACCAGCCUGGGCAAUAUGGUGAGACACUGUCUCUACUAAAAAUACAAAAAAAAAUUAGCUGGGCAUGGUGGUGCAUGCCUGUGUUCCCAGUUACUCAGGAGGCUAAGGUGGGAAGAUCACUUGAGCCUGGGGGGCAGAAGUUGCAGUGAGCUGAGAUCGAACCACUGCACUCCAGCCUGGGAGAGAGAGCAAGAUCCUGUCUCAAAGAAAACAAAUGGCUGGGCCCAGUGGCUCAUACCUGUAAUCCCAGCACUUUGGGAGGCCAAGGUGGGCGGAUCACCUGAGGUCAGGAGUUUGAGACCAGCCUGGACAACAUGAUAAAACCCCGCCUCUACUAAAAAUGCUACUAAAUCUCUACCAUAAAUAAAGAAAAAUGUUUUCUUUUUCUUUUUUUUUUUCUUUUUGAGAUGGAGUCUUGCUCUGUCACCCAGGCUGGAGUGCAGUGGCACCAUCUUGGCUCACUGCAACCUCUGCCUCCCAGGUUCAAGCAAUUAUCCUACCUCAGCCUCCUGAGUAGCUGGGAUUACAGUCAUGCGCCACCAUGCCAGACUAAUUUUUGGUAUUUUUAGUAGAGACGGAGUUUCUCCGUAUUGGUCAGGCUGGUCUCGAACUCGCGACCUCAGGUGAUCUGCCGGCCUCGGCCUUCCAAAGUGCUGGGAUUACAGGCGUGAGCCCCUGCGCCCAGCCCCAAGAAGGUGCUUUUUUCAUUUUUUUCUUUUUUUUUUUUGAGAUGGAGUUUUGCUUUUAUCAUCCAGGCUGGAGUACAGUGGCACGAUCUCGGCUCACGGCAACCUCUGCCUCCCGGGUUCAAGCGAUUCUUCUGUCUCAGCCUCCUGAGUAGCUGGGAUUACAAGCGUCCGCCACCACGCCCAGCUAAUUUUUGUAUUUUUAGUAGAGAUGGGGUUUCACCAUGUUGGCUAGGCUGGUCUCAAACUCCUGACUUCAGGUGAUCCACCUACCUCGGCCUCCCAAAGUGCUGGGAUUACAGGUGUGAGCCACCUCGCUCCGCCAAAGGUGCUUUUUGCUAAUCUGAACUCGGGCAUGUAAAGUGGGAAUAUGCUCUGUUUGAAGCAGGAGGGAGUAAAGUUACCUAAUCUAAGAACUUCCUUGUUAUAUAAGGUUAUGCAGCCUAGGCAACGUAGCCAGAUGCCCCAUUUCUACAAAAAAAAAAAAAAGUAAAAAUUAGCUGGGUGGGUCGGGCGCGAUGGCUCACAACUGCAAUCCCAGCACUUUGGGAGGCCAAGGCAGGUGGAUCACGAAGUCAGGAGUUCGAGACCAGCCUGACCAACAUGAUGAAACCCUGUCUUUACUAAAAAUACAAAAGUUUGCCAGGUGUGGUGUCAUGUGCCUGUAAUCCCAGCUACUCAGGAGGCUGAGGCAGGAUAAUUGCUUGAACCUGGGAGGCGAAGGUUGCAGUGAGCCGAGAUCACACCACUGCACUCUAGCCUGGGUGACAGAGCAGUGAGACUCCUGGAAAAAAAAAAAUUUAGCUGGGUGUGGUGGCAUGAGUCUGUCGUUCCAGCUACUUGGGAGGCUGAGGUGGGAGGAUCACUUGAGCUCAGGGGGUCGAGGUCACAGCAAGCACUGAUGGCUUCACUGCACUCCAGCCUGGGUGACAGAAUGAGACCCUGUCUCAAAAAUAAUAAUAAAAUUUAAAAACAGGCCAGGAGUGGUGGCUCACGCUUGUAAUCCCAGCACUUUGGGAGGCUGAGAAUGGCGGCUCACCUAAGGUCAGGAAUUCGAGACCAGCCUGGCUAACAUGGUGAAACCCCAUCUGUACUAAAAUUACAAAAAUUAACUGGGCAUAGUGGUGAGUGCCUGUAAUCCCAGCUACUUGGGAGGCUGAGGCAGGAGAAUCGCUUGAACCUGGGAGGUGGAGGUUGCAGUGAGCCGAGACUGUGCCACUGAACUCCAGCCUGGGCGACAAGAGUGAAACUCCGUCUGAAAAUAAAAAUAAAAAUUAAAUUAAAAUAAAAUAAAAUAAAAAGGUUGAGCGGGUGUCUUAUGCCUAUAAUCCCAGCACUUUGGGAGGCCGAGGCAGGCGGAUCACGAGGUCAGGAGAUCAAGACCAUCCUGACUAACACAGUGUAACCCCGUCUCUACUAAAAAUACAAAAAAUUAGCUGGGCGUCGUGGUACGCACCUGUAGUCCCAGCUACUCCGGAGGCUGAAGCAAGAGAAUCGCUUGAACCCAGGAGGCGGAGGUUACAGUCAGCGGAGAUUGCGCCAUUGCACUCCAGCCUGGUCGACAGAGCGAGACUCAGUCUCAAAAAUAAAUAAAUAAAGUGAUGCACUGGAGCAGGUGACCAAUGGGGCAGUGAGGCAAUGGGGACAAUAUGAACACAGGCCUGGAGAGAAGUUUCUGAAAGGCUUGGAUGCUGGGGUGUGAGGGGGUUCUGCGUGGGUGGGUCCCUGCAUUGAAUGAGCCGCCGUGCACACCAAGGUAACCAUAGACUUGCCUGCCUUUUUCAAGCAGCUGGUUCUUCUCGCAGGGCCCCACCCACCAGCUCCACUCCUGACUCUUCUUCUCCACUCCCACUCUGGCCUCUGACCCAUGCAGCCUGGGCCUGAGAUGGUCCCUCCCCAAGCUCCUGGUUUCACCUCUGAAACUCCAAGGCUCCACAUUGCUGAGAUUUUACUAUGGCUCCCAGCUGGGUCCCACCUUUGAUCUGGCUUCAAAAAAUAAAAAGCAGUACCAGGAGAGUAAUUUUCCCGACCUGCUCGGGAGGAAGGCAGGCUGGAGGCAGGUCCUGACCAGCCCGGCCCACUCCUGGAGCCUGGAGUCAGAAGCUAGUGGCAGAGGGGGCAGGGGACAGGGGAGCAAAGCCACCUUUCCUCAUUAACUUCCUCCCCUUCCUUUCUGGGGCACUGACCUGUCUCUUCCUUCCCUUCCCAGCCUGCCAAUCAGCAGGGAAAAGGAUGAUACAGCUGCUUCCCCCACACCCCUCCUGAGGCUCUCCCCACUCAACCUCUUGCCUCUUGGGCAGCAGUGCCUCAGUCCUCUCUCCACACUGUUCCCCUGGCCUGUCCCUGGGGGGUGGGGACCGAGCACUCAGGGUGGGGCCUGGUAAGGGACAAGUCUGUGCCCCCUGGCUGAGCACCUGAGACAUUACUCAGUUGGCUGUCUCAGCGCCAGCUCUGGUCUUGAGGGACUGGACUGAGGGGUGGGAAGGGGAAGGUCCAGCUUUUUAUGGGCCUUCCUGCCCACCCCUCUCCGUGGUGCUGCAAGCCCUGGCCCAGGAUUUCCGUCUUUCAGCAGCAGCACCUGCCCCUCCCAGUUCAAAGGCUCUGGCUCCUCACCUGUUCUCAGGGUGCUUGCCUGGUCCUUUUAAGUGGUUAGCAAUGCACCCCACCCCCACCCUGCUGAGGGUCUGGGCUUCUCCGUGCAGGUGGGGGACCAAGGUGAUGGGGCACAGAGUCCAGAAGCGGCAGAAACACCCUUCAACCAGAUGAGCUGUCCCCAGUAGGCACAGGGCUACCGCCCUUCCUUUCGGUGGGUAGGGAAGGAGCUGGGGUCUGGCCCUAGAGAAAACUGGCAGCUGGGUUUGGUGGAGCAAGGGCAGAGGGCAUGGGGCUGGGGCCGGGCACUUUCCAUUUGAGAAAUUCCUGUCUCAGCUUUUUAGCUCAUUGACUGAGAUGAGAGAUGGCUGCUAAGCACAAGGGACGUUCUGUUUUUCCGUCUUUAUUUUCCUAUCCUUGUACCCCGUCAGGUAAGACUCCUACCCACAUGCACAUUGUGAAAGCAUUCCCUAAAUAUUGGAGCUGGCAGAACCCACUCACUGCCCCCUUCCAGGCCCCUGGGCUUGUCAGGGGUUCUGGCCACUGCUGUGCAUUCCUUGUCUGGGCAAAGGAACAGUGAAAGCCCGAGCCCCACUUUCUCCAGGGGGAGGCCCCUUCUGGAAGUUGCCCCACCUCCACUCUCCCCUCGCCUUGCCCUAGGCACCUCUCCCUGACCUGGGGGCAGAGAGGAGAGCUCGGGGAGGGGGAGGAAGUUGGGAGCCACCUCGUCUCCAGGUGGGGCGGGGUCCCAGCAGCGAUAACCAUCUUCUUGGCAGCUCCAACCUGUUCUAUUGGUAUUUUUUUUUUUCCUAGAGGAGAAAGGUGAAGGCCUUGGCGGGGAGUUAUUCUGGCUCUGAAGUGUCCUUGCAGCUCCCCAGGCCCCUGCAGGCCUUGUGCAAGAGCUGUAAAUCUCUCACCACCCACAGGCCUGGGGGGGCCUGCCGCUGGGACUUUCAUGUCCGGAGAUUUUAUGCCUUUGCUCCUCUGUUGGGCUCCAUAGCUCCUGCCUGGGGCCUCUCCCUAGCCUGUAAAAAUCCAGUCCCAUAAAUCUCUGCUGCCCCCCAGGAGCCAAGCAGAGUUCUUCCCACUCCAACUCCCACUCAUAAGCAUCUCUCCCCUCAAGAGACCACAGUGAAGUGGCAAGGUCGAAGCAAAAGGUUUCCAAGAAGGGCAGCAGCUAAAUGGGGGUCUUCCUGGGACCUCCUCCGGCAUCAGUCUCUGCUUGGGUGGGAUUGGACUCUGUAACUGAAUGGUCUGUUUCCAGCUUCAAUGCUGGAGGGGCUUCUGGGGGUCUCUGGUGGGGAGGCCCUUGGCCUCCACUGCCUAUUAGUAUCCACCUGAGCCUCCCGAGACAGGUGGCUGUCUGUCUGCCAAGCCCCCAGGUGCAUUGGAGGUGGCAGGCAGCCCAGUGACUAUGCUGCUUUCCUGGAUCAAAAUGGGAAACCCAAGGAAAGGGAAAGGCAUAACAGUGGCUGAGGCCUGGAGGCUCAUGGAUGGACUGCACGGUCCAGUGGAUUCUGGGGUAAAACACAGUGCUUAACUUCUUAGUCUGAUGGGGGAGACUGUGCACUCGUCCAGGACCUGGGCAUUGAGAAAGGGGCCAGAUUGCCGGCACUGGGUAGGACUCAGGGCAGGGAUGAUACUGUGCCUGGGAACGUCCCAUUAGAGAAGAGGAGCACCAGACUGGCUUGGGAAGGAGGAAGAGGCGAGAGCUGCAAAGGGAGCAGGGUGUCCCCAGCAGAAAGAACAGUUUGUUCACAGGUUCCUAGGAGAGAGGAUGUGACCUGGGUGGGGGGACGCCAGCAUGUUUGCCAGGAAGGUGAGGAGCCUGGCUCCACCCUUCCUGGAAAGACAUGAGAAGGAGAGAGUGGCCUUCAUGCUGAAGGUGGGGAGAGGUAAGGUGGGCGGUGGGAGGGAGAGCUCUAUGGUGGAAGGGCUUGAGUGGGAUGCAGCUGCUCAGGAGAGAACCCAGGCCAAACUCUCACUGACCCUCCUGGCCUACUGGGAUCUCACUGCCAGAUGAGCAGACAUUGGGAAGCCCAGGAUCUCUGUUCAAAAGUCAUCUCACUCACCCACCCGCAUCCCCGCCAUGUCCAGAUUCUGACUUGCAUCCCAUCUCCCCAUGCCCACUGCCAGGCUGAGCUACUGCUCAUGGCUACCAUUUAUUGAGUACCUACUGCAUGCCAGGCACUGCUCCAAGCUCUUUACAUGCGUUGACUCAUUCAAGCCCAUUUUCCCUAUGAGAUAGGUCCUAUAAUCAGCCCCACUUUGCAGAUGAGAAAACUGAGGCAUAGUGAGCUUAAGUAACUUGCUCAAGAUCACACCACUGGCUUCACAGUCAGGAUUCCAGCCAGGCACCUGGCUCUAGAGCCCAUGUCUCCACCUCUGCCCUCUGCUACAGAAGAGGCUUCACCACCAAGGCCCGGGGAAAGGGUGUCCUCUGUGCCUCCUCCCAACUCCUUCAGAGGCCAGUGGGGUUGGCCCUGGACAUUUGGAGAGAAGCCUGCCAGUUAUCCUCUUUCCACAGGGAGGGGGCAGUUGUAGCCUAACGUUCUGGUGCUUUCUAGGGGUCCUCUGCCUUUUGGGGUAUGCUCACCUCAAAGGCAGCAUCAGGGACAAGCUCCUGAUUCCCACGGGGUGCCCUGCUUCCGCUAGUGCCCAGCAACCAUGGGGAAACUGGGCAAUAGCAAAAGUGAAACUGACUCAGCCGGUUUCCCACCCCUGCCAAGGGAAAUGGGGAGCAGCCUCGGCUGGACAACAACCAAUUAGGCACUUUUUAUUGCCCACGCUGUCAUAAUCCUCAGAGCUUGGCUACGAUGAAGGAGAGGAAAUAGGAUAGGAUGGAAUUCCAAGAUGCCUUUAGAGUUCAUCCCAGCCAUUCCCCUGCUUCUAGAUGGGAAAGUUCAAAUACCAUCCACAAGAACUUUCCUCCAAGUGAGGCCCUUAGCCCUGGAAGUCAAUAGGCCUUUGCAUCUAUUGCAUCUAACAAGAAUCAUUCAACCUCAUAGAGGGGUUUUCUCCUGUCCUUUGCUCCAGCGACUCAGGGAAGACGAAUCUUAUUUGUGUUUUUUCCCAGGACACGGUGGGUGGGGAGCUAGGCUCAUGCAGUCGUGAAGACCUCUGGUACCACCUGGAUGGUGGCAUUAGGGAUCAGGGAACUACUGAUUUUUCAAGUGCAAUCUGACUCCUCUCUCAGACUAGCAAUUCCCAGAGGACAGAGGUCUUGUCUCCUCCCUCAGACUGAAAGCUCCUGGAGAAACUGCCUUCCCUCACUUCCCUCUCUUGUCCCCUGCCCCUUCUCUCAGUUGCCCAGGGCAGAGCUUUGUCCACAGAGGGCCACUCCUGCUGUGCAUAGAACCUUGACUGUGUCGGUGACUCAGAGGGGGUUACAAUCUGAUUGGGAAGUGCUACCGUGGUCUGUCGGUGCCUCCAUUUCCUCUUGUGUAGAAUGGAGUUGUAAUGAAGAUUAAUUUUUUUUUUUUUUUGAGACGGAGUCUCGCCCUGUUGCCCAGGCUGAAGUGCAGUGGUGCGAUCUCGGCUCACUGCAAGCUCCACCUCCCGGGUUCACGCCAUUCUCCUGCCUCAGCCUCCCGAGUAGCUGGGACUACAGGCGCCCGCCACCACGCCCGGCUAAUUUUUUGUAUUUUUAGUAGAGACUGGGUUUCACCAUGAUAGCCAGGAUGGUCUUGAUCUCCUGACCUCGUGAUUCGCCUGCCUCAGCCUCCCAAAGUGCUGGGAUUACAGGUGUGAGCCACCACGCCCAGCCAUGAAGAUUAAAUUUUUAAAAAG
rnacentral:lncRNA from 1 species